AGAGUUUGAUCUGGCUCAGGAUGAACGCUGGCGGCGUGCUUAACACAUGCAAGUCGAACGGGGAUUACACGGCGAUGCGAUUUCGGUCAAAUCAAGUGCAAUCUUAGUGGCGGACGGGUGAGUAACGCGUGGGUAACCUGCCUUGCACUGGGGGAUAACACUUAGAAAUAGGUGCUAAUACCGCAUAAGCGCACGGUCCUGCAUGGGACAGUGUGAAAAACUCCGGUGGUGCAAGAUGGACCCGCGUCUGAUUAGCUGGUUGGCGGGGUAAAGGCCCACCAAGGCGACGAUCAGUAGCCGGCCUGAGAGGGUGGACGGCCACAUUGGGACUGAGACACGGCCCAAACUCCUACGGGAGGCAGCAGUGGGGAUAUUGGACAAUGGGGGGAACCCUGAUCCAGCGACGCCGCGUGAGUGAAGAAGUAUUUCGGUAUGUAAAGCUCUGUCAGCAGGGAAGAAAGCAAUGACGGUACCUGACCAAGAAGCCCCGGCUAACUACGUGCCAGCAGCCGCGGUAAUACGUAGGGGGCAAGCGUUAUCCGGAAUUACUGGGUGUAAAGGGUGCGUAGACGGCUGUGCAAGUCUGGAGUGAAAGGCGGGGGCCCAACCCCCGGACUGCUCUGGAAACUGUAUGGCUGGAGUGCAGGAGAGGUAAGCGGAAUUCCUAGUGUAGCGGUGAAAUGCGUAGAUAUUAGGAGGAACACCAGUGGCGAAGGCGGCUUACUGGACUGUAACUGACGUUGAGGCUCGAAAGCGUGGGGAGCAAACAGGAUUAGAUACCCUGGUAGUCCACGCCGUAAACGAUGAUUACUAGGUGUCGGAGGGUAUGGACCCUUCGGUGCCGCAGCAAACGCAGUAAGUAAUCCACCUGGGGAGUACGUUCGCAAGAAUGAAACUCAAAGGAAUUGACGGGGACCCGCACAAGCGGUGGAGCAUGUGGUUUAAUCCGAAGCAACGCGAAGAACCUUACCAAGUCUUGACAUCUGGAUGACAGGGACGUAACGGUCCCCUUACUUCGGUACAUCCAAGACAGGUGGUGCAUGGUUGUCGUCAGCUCGUGUCGUGAGAUGUUGGGUUAAGUCCCGCAACGAGCGCAACCCUUAUCCUUAGUAGCCAGCGGGCAGGGCCGGGCACUCUAGGGAGACUGCCGGGGAUAACCCGGAGGAAGGUGGGGAUGACGUCAAAUCAUCAUGCCCCUUAUGAUUUGGGCUACACACGUGCUACAAUGGCGUAAACAGAGGGAAGCGAACCCGCGAGGGGGAGCAAAUCCCAAAAAUAACGUCCCAGUUCGGAUUGUAGCCUGCAACCCGGCUACAUGAAGCUGGAAUCGCUAGUAAUCGCGGAUCAGAAUGCCGCGGUGAAUACGUUCCCGGGUCUUGUACACACCGCCCGUCA
rnacentral:rRNA from 1 species